GACGAACGCUGGCGGCGUGCUUAACACAUGCAAGUCGAACGGAAAGGCCCUGCUUUUUUGGGGUGCUCGAGUGGCGAACGGGUGAGUAACACGUGAGUAACCUGCCCUUGACUUUGGGAUAACUUCAGGAAACUGGGGCUAAUACCGUAUAGGAUCUCCUGCUGCAUGGUGGGGGGUGGAAAGUUUCGGCUGUUGGGGAUGGACUCGCGGCUUAUCAGCUUGUUGGUGGGGUAGUGGCUUACCAAGGCUUUGACGGGUAGCCGGCAUGAGAGGGUGACCGGCCACAUUGGGACUGAGAUACGGACCAGACUCCUACGGGAGGCAGCAGUGGGGAAUAUUGCACAAUGGGAGGAAGCCUGAUGCAGCAACGCCGCGUGCGGGAUGACGGCCUUCGGGUUGUAAACCGCUUUAGCCUGUGACGAAGCGUGAGUGACGGUAAUGGGUAAAGAAGCACCGGCUAACUACGUG
rnacentral:rRNA from 1 species